GCCUGUCUCAUUCGGAUUGGAGUCUGCAACCCGACUCCAUGAAGCUGGAUUCGCUAGUAAUCGCGCAUCAGCCACGGCGCGGUGAAUACGUUCCCGGGCCUUGUACACACCGCCCGUCAAGCCAUGGAAGCCGGGGUGCCUGAAGUGCGCUGCCGCAAGGAGCGCCCUAGGGUAAAACCGGUGACUGGGACUAAGUCGUAACAAGGUAUC
rnacentral:rRNA from 1 species